CCUACGGGAGGCUGCAGUGGGGAAUAUUGGACAAUGGGCGAAAGCCUGAUCCAGCCAUGCCGCGUGUGUGAAGAAGGCCUUCGGGUUGUAAAGCACUUUCAGUGGGGAAGAAAGCCUUGGGGCUAAUACCCUCGAGGAAGGACAUCACCCACAGAAGAAGCACCGGCUAACUCCGUGCCAGCAGCCGCGGUAAUACGGAGGGUGCGAGCGUUAAUCGGAAUUACUGGGCGUAAAGCGCGCGUAGGCGGUCUGAUAAGCCGGUUGUGAAAGCCCCGGGCUCAACCUGGGAACGGCAUCCGGAACGGUCAGGCUAGAGUGCAGGAGAGGAAGGUAGAAUUCCCGGUGUAGCGGUGAAAUGCGUAGAGAUCGGGAGGAAUACCAGUGGCGAAGGCGGCCUUCUGGACUGACACUGACGCUGAGGUGCGAAAGCGUGGGUAGCAAACAGGAUUAGAUACCCGAGUAGUC
rnacentral:rRNA from 1 species